ensembl:lncRNA
GUGUGGUAUGUGGUGUGUGUAUUUGUGGCAUGUGUGGUGUGUGUGUGUGUGUGUGUGGUAUGUGUGUGCAUAUGGUAUGUGUGUGUGUGGUGUGAGGUGUGUGUGUAUGCUGUGUGUGUGCACGUGUGGUAUGUGGUGUAUGUGUGUGUGUGUGGUGUAUGUGUGAGGUGUGUGUGUGGUGUGAGGUGUGUGUGUGAGGUGUGUGUGUGGUGUGAGGUGUGUAUACGUGUGCUGUAUAUGUGUGUGCAUUUGGUGUGUGUUUUGUGUGUGUGUGUGCGUGUGUGGUGUGUGUGUUUGAGGUGUGUGUGUGUGGUGUGAGGUGUGUGUGUGUGUGGCAUAUGAUAUGUGUGAGAUUCGGUGUGUGAUGUGUGUAUCUGAGGUGUGUGUGUGUGUAGUGUAAGGUGUGUGUGUGUGUGUGUGUGUGGUGUAUGUGGUAUGUGUGUGUGACCAAAAACACAUUGGGCCAAUGACACGUCUCAGUGGGCAAAGAUACUUGCCACAUAUGUGGUUUGGAUGACAAUGGCCCCUGUAGGGUCAUAUUUUGAAUGCUUAGUUCCCAGUAGGCGGAACUGUUUGGGAAGGAUUAGGGGGUGUGGCUAUGCUGGAGGUUUGCCACUGGGGGUGAACUUUGAGGUGUCAAAAGGCCACAGCAGGCUCAGUGUCUCUUUCUCUGCUUGCUGCCCGUGGAUCAGGUUGUAAAGAUCUCAGCUACUGCUCCAGGGCCAUGCCUGUCUGCCUCCCAUCACAGUGAUAAUGGGCUAGCCCUCUGAAGCCGAAAGCAAGCCCCCUGGGGUAAACGCUUCUCUUCAGCGCAACAGAAGAGUAGCUAAGACAGCCUACCAGGAAUCUCUGGGAGUGGGGACGAGCGCUGGCCUGGAAACCCCACAGACUGAACUGGAGAAGACAUCCUUACUUGGGAGAAGCUAAGAACUCAGAACUCAGUGCGUGUCAGCCUGAUCUUCCUCAGCAGCCCCCAGGAGCAAACUCUCCUUCCCUUCACCCCAUGACCUCAUACAAAGAAAUGGGGGUCCACGGCAUGGGUCAAGGUCUUAGUCCUACACCACCUUGGCAGAUCCUAGCUCCUCCCACCAAGCUGAGUUCAACAUUCUUCUUUGUCUGUGUGUCUUCUUUGUCUGUGUGCCAUCCUGCGGAAGAGGCAGGAUGUGGUAGAGCAAGGAUCAUCAGUGAGCCAGGCUAAUGUGGCUGAAGAUGCUACUUCACUACUCUUGGCUGCUCUGUGCCUGAGGCUGGUGACUCUGGUCCCAGGAGCUCCUAAAAUUGACUCAGUUCUUUCCAAAAUCUUAUCUCUUGAGAGAAAUUGCCUGCUCUCCUGGCCUAAAGUAGCCCCCCACCCACCCAAUUUGGAAUGGCGGAAUCUUUGUCCUUGUUUCUGUUGCUAGGAUAAGCAUUGUGCCCAAAAGCGGCUUGGAGAAGAAGGGGCUUUUUUGUCUCACAGGUUGCACUCCAUCCAUCAGGGCAGAAACCCGAGCAGGAAUCUGGAGGCAGGAACUCAAGCAGAGGCCAUGGAGAACUCUGCACACUGGCUUGCUCUCCAUGGCUUGCUCUCCAAGCCUGCUGUCUUACAGAACUCAGGACCAGAAGUGGGCACACGCACUAUGGACUGGGCCCCUCCCCCACCGGUCUUUUUAAUAAAGGAAUCGGCUCACUCGUCAUGGGUCUGCCUGAUGGAAG